GAAUUUGGGAUGGGGAACACAGUUCAGUUCAUGGCAGGGUUUAAAAUGGAAAAGUGGUCAACUAUGUCAAAUGCUGCUGAGAAGUUACUUCAGAAAAUACUGGAAAGUGCCCACUGGAUUGUACAAUGCAGAUUACGCAUUUGAUCAUCUUCAGAUCAGACCACAAUGUCAUGAUGGAAUUGGCUUAGAGAAGACCAAGGAACUAGCAGACAUUCUUCACCAACUCAAGCCAUGUCCUACCCAGUUAUCUACCAUUUUGGACACAAAGAGAGAAGACGUAACUAAGAGGAAGAAAUGAAGAAGCACUUAGAAAUUGGAAAGCAGAAAUAGUUGCUCUAAGAUCUGCUGAACCUCCCUGAUUCUCUCAUCUUAAGUAUUUACAAAGGAGUUUAUGAGCUCAAGCAGACUCUACCUCAGCGUGCUCAUCUAUAAAAUGGGGGGGAUGGGCAAUAUGAGUGUAUUAGCUUCCUCCAGGGAAGUCAUGCUGUUUGACAACCUGUAGGAUAAUUUUAUAGUUUCAAUAUAUAGCCAAGGAGCAAAGAAUCUAAAUUUCUGCUGAAUCCCUGGAUGACAACAGGAGGCAUCGUGUGCACGAAUGGAUCUCAUUCACUCCACGUCCUUCUUUGCCAGAAAUAGAAGAAAAACUUGCCUUAAGGAUAGCUGUUUUUAUUGGGUAUUGUCUGCUGUGAAUAAGGAAGUUUGUAAGAGUCUUAUGAGGACAAUGCAACAUGUGAUACAUUCAUCUUAACUUCCCAAUGCGAGGAGACACAAAGCAUAUGUAGGCAUUUCCC
rnacentral:lncRNA from 12 species